CUCUCAACCGCCCCCACUCCCUCAUAACCGAUUUCCCUCCCCCUCUUUUCCAUUCGUUCUCUCUUCUCGGUCUCUCUCUCUCUCUCUCUCUCUCGCUCUCUAGCUCUCAUCUCUCUCGAAGUGUGCUCUCACGGUGUUACGCUCGUACGUUGUAAAUCGGUGUAGGGAAAGCUUCGAAUUUACGUUUGAACUAUCCAAGAAAGGGUGAUCGUUUACGAGGAAAGUGUGGUUGAAGAAGGGAAUUAUUUUAAAAGCUAAG